GAAAGCCUGUCUCAGUUCGGAUUGGAGGCUGAAACCCGCCUCCAUGAAGUUGGAUUCGCUAGUAAUCGCGCAUCAGCCAUGGCGCGGUGAAUACGUUCCCGGGCCUUGUACACACCGCCCGUCAAGCCAUGGGAGCCGGGGGUGCCUGAAGUUCGUGACCGCAAGGAGCGACCUAGGGCAAAACUGGUGACUGGGGCUAAGUCGUAACAAGGUACC
rnacentral:rRNA from 1 species